GCUAAAGUACUUUUGGGGGUUUGAAGCUUGCUUCACACCUAACCCCACCUCCCGGAAGUAGCUGAUCGAGAACAGAGCUGAUACAGGAAUUUGCAGUAACGUCUGUGCUGGCCGACAACUGUAUCCACUCAGCAGCAAGACGGCUCUUCACUACCAGGACCAGGUUGACUUUGGAAGAUUUGUUUUUAUUGUGUUAUAAUAAAGGCUGUUCAUCUUUCCACUGGCUGGAGUGAAGGCCUACUUUCUAAGGCUGUU